rnacentral:rRNA from 1 species
GUAAACGGCGGCCGUAACUAUAACGGUCCUAAGGUAGCGAAAUUCCUUGUCGGGUAAGUUCCGACCCGCACGAAAGGCGUAACGAUCUGGGCACUGUCUCAACGAGAGACUCGGUGAAAUUGAAAUCCCUGUGAAGAUGCAGGGUACCCGCGACAGGACGGAAAGACCCCAUGGAGCUUUACUGUAGCUUGAUAUUGAGUGUUUGUACUGCUUGUACAGGAUAGGUAGGAGCCAUAGAAGUCGGAACGCUAGUUUCGACGGAGGCGUUGGUGGGAUACUACCCUUGCAUUAUGACCACUCUAACCCGCAGCACUAAACGUGCUGGGAGACAGUGUCAGGUGGGCAGUUUGACUGGGGCGGUCGCCUCCCAAAAGGUAACGGAGGCGCCCAAAGGUUCGCUCAGAAUGGUUGGAAAUCAUUCGCAGAGUGUAAAGGCACAAGCGAGCUUGACUGCGAGACAGACAGGUCGAGCAGGGACGAAAGUCGGGCUUAGUGAUCCGGUGGUUCCGCAUGGAAGGGCCAUCGCUCAACGGAUAAAAGCUACCCUGGGGAUAACAGGCUUAUCUCCCCCAAGAGUUCACAUCGACGGGGAGGUUUGGCACCUCGAUGUCGGCUCAUCGCAUCCUGGGGCUGAAGUCGGUCCCAAGGGUUGGGCUGUUCGCCCAUUAAAGCGGUACGCGAGCUGGGUUCAGAACGUCGUGAGACAGUUCGGUCCCUAUCCGUCGCGGGCGUAGGAAAUUUGAGAGGACCUGUCCUUAGUACGAGAGGACCGGGAUGGACAUACCGCUGGUGUACCAGUUGUUCCGCCAGGAGCAUCGCUGGGUAGCUAUGUAUGGAUGAGAUAAACGCUGAAAGCAUCUAAGCGUGAAACUCGCCUCAAGAUGAGAUUUCCCAUUCCUUAUGGAAGUAAGACCCCUCAGAGAUGAUGAGGUAGAUAGGAUGGAAGUGGAAGUGCCGCGAGGCAUGGAGCGGACCAUUACUAAUCGGUCGAGGACUUAACCAA